GGAGCGGGGGAAAGAAUGAUGAAACGGGGGAGGGGUUGAGAAUCAUGUGUGAAGAGGUUAAGAUACCUAUGUGGGGCUGGGGACUGGGUGCUGCGGAUGAAGGCAGGAACAGAGAGACACUUCUCUGUGCGCCAAAGAGAAGGAAGUCAGUCGCCAGUGACUCUGAAAUUUUAAAUUAUCUCCAACAAGGACAAUGAAAAGAGGCAAGUCGACACUUUGAGAAGGCUUGACGAGCUUGUCAAGAAUGCCAGUUGACAAAGGCAGUUUUAGAGAAACCUGAAGAAGUGGACAAAGACGGAGAAAAGGCAGCCAGAUGUGAUCCUGAACUUCAGAAGCCGAAAGCCUCUGUCAUCCCCUAGGAGCCUUGGCAGUCACAGGAAUGAGCGAGUGGAAAUGAACAGAUCUUGAAACACCCAGUCGCAGAGGAACCACGUAUGCUUAUCAGGCCUGAGACCUCUUAAAUAAACUGCAUCCCCUUCCAUUUUCAAUUUCCAGUUGAGAAUGAUGAAAAAGGUCAUGAUACAGUCUGUGCUCCACAGGGACAUUGCUGUGCCAACGAUACUCUCUCUAAAAGUGCAGGGCAUCUGGGAGGGUGAGCUGCCUAUAACUCUCAAUUGUCUAGGUAAUGAAGUAUCAAGAAAGCUAAACCAGAUGAAAUAAUUUGAUCGUCAAAAAAUGAUUCCUCUGAUGGUGCUUGGAGUGGGCUGGCUGACAAGUAUGAGAUUGCCAAGUUAGGUUACCUCACUCUGGUUUUCUCUCCCACUUGGGGUGAACACGGAUGGGCAGAAUGCGGGCUCCUAGGGGCUGUGUGCGGAACUCCAGCCCUUCACUCAGAUAGUUUUACGUUUCACAGUGUCGGAGAUGGGUGUGUUUCGGUGAGAUUUCUCAAGACCCCACAGAGCCACUUGGAGAAUGGGUGCUAUGCUGAAAAGACUUCCUGAACAUUCUCAAACUUGCCUUAGGACCUGAGGGUCCUCAGAAGUCCCUGGAAAAAGAGCAUCAAGUUCCCCAUGGACUAUGCCCUCCUGGAAUAUUGAGGGUAUUCAACCGGCCAUUAAUAGCUGCUCAGCUAGGGUCGAGGCCUUGGGAGACCCUCGCUGUGAGUCCUUGAGUCCACUAGCCAGGUCAUGUCCAGAAGACAGCAUGUCACAGCGUCAGCUCGCCCUCCAGCCCUCACAUGCUUUCUGCCCCGUGUGUCUAGAGCCUUGUGUAGGGG